UUGUUUGUGCUUCAACAGUGUUUGAACGAAACAA
rnacentral:sRNA from 1 species